GAUGAACGCUGGCGGCGUGCCUAAUACAUGCAAGUCGAGCGAACAGAUAAGGAGCUUGCUCCUUUGACGUUAGCGGCGGACGGGUGAGUAACACGUGGGUAACCUACCUAUAAGACUGGGAUAACUUCGGGAAACCGGAGCUAAUACCGGAUAACAUUUGGAACCGCAUGGUUCUAAAGUGAAAGAUGGUUUUGCUAUCACUUAUAGAUGGACCCGCGCCGUAUUAGCUAGUUGGUAAGGUAACGGCUUACCAAGGCAACGAUACGUAGCCGACCUGAGAGGCUGAUCGGCCACAUUGGAACUGAGACACGGUCCAGACUCCUACGGGAGGCAGCAGUAGGGAAUCUUCCGCAAUGGGCGAAAGCCUGACGGAGCAACGCCGCGUGAGUGAUGAAGGGUUUCGGCUCGUAAAACUCUGUUAUUAGGGAAGAACAAACGUGUAAGUAACUGUGCACGUCUUGACGGUACCUAAUCAGAAAGCCACGGCUAACUACGUG
rnacentral:rRNA from 1 species